AUUGAACGCCGGCGGCAUGCCUUACACAUGCAAGUCGAACGGCAGCAUGGAGAGCUUGCUCUCUGAUGGCGAGUGGCGAACGGGUGAGUAAAGCAUCGGAACGUACCGUGUAGUGGGGGAUAACGUAGCGAAGGUUACGCUAAUACCGCAUACGCACUGAGGUGGAAAGCAGGGGAUCGUAAGACCUUGCGCUAUACGAGCGGCCGAUGUCAGAUUAGCUAGUUGGUAGGGUAAAGGCCUACCAAGGCGACGAUCUGUAGCGGGUCUGAGAGGAUGAUCCGCCACACUGGGACUGAGACACGGCCCAGACUCCUACGGGAGGCAGCAGUGGGGAAUUUUGGACAAUGGGGGCAACCCUGAUCCAGCCAUGCCGCGUGAGUGAAGAAGGCCUUCGGGUUGUAAAGCUCUUUCGGCCGGGAAGAAAUCGCACAGGCUAAUACCCUGUGUGGAUGACGGUACCGGCAUAAGAAGCACCGGCUAACUACGUGCCAGCCGCCGCAGUAA
rnacentral:rRNA from 1 species